CACGUAGGGUGCGAGCGUUGUCCGGAAUUAUUGGGCGUAAAGGGCUCGUAGGCGGUCCAUCACGUCGGGAGUGAAAAGCUGGGGCUUAACCCCAGUCCUGCUUCCGAUACGGGUGGACUAGAGGUAGGCAGGGGAGAACGGAAUCCUGGUGUAGCGGUGAAAUGCGCAGAUAUCAGGAGGAACACCGAUGGCGAAGGCAGGUCUCUGGGCCACUACUGACGCUGAGAAGCGAAAGCAUGGGGAGCGAACAGG
rnacentral:rRNA from 1 species